GGACCCGCACAAGCGGUGGAGCAUGUGGUUUAAUUCGAUGCAACGCGAAAAACCUUACCUACUCUUGACAUACUUGGGAGCUCUUGUAAUGAGAGUGUGCCUUUUGGAACCAAGAUACAGGUGCUGCAUGGCUGUCGUCAGCUCGUGUCGUGAGAUGUUCCGUUAAGUCGGAUAACGAGCGCAACCCUUACCCUUAUUUGCCAGCGAUUCGGUCGGGAACUAUAAGGGGACUGCCGGUGAUAAACCGGAGGAAGGUGAGGACGACGUCAAGUCAUCAUGGCCCUUACGAGUAGGGCUACACACGUGCUACAAUGGGGAAUACAGACGGACGCUAAGCCGCGAGGUGGUGCCAAUCCUGAGAAAGCUGAUCGUAGUCCGGAUUGGAGUCUGAAACUCGACUCCAUGAAGUUGGAAUCGCUAGUAA
rnacentral:rRNA from 1 species